GUGRGUAACRCGUGGGCAAUCUGCCCUUCACYCGGRACAARNNCUGGAAACGGGGUCUAAUACCGGAUAACACUCCUACAGGCAUCUGUGGGGGUUAAAAGCUCCGGCGGUGAAGGAUGAGCCCGCGGCCUAUCANCUUGUUGGUGAGGUAGUGGCUCACCAAGGCGACGACGGGUAGCCGGCCUGAGAGGGCGACCGGCCACACUGGGACUGAGACACGGCCCAGACUCCUACGGGAGGCAGCAGUGGGGAAUAUUGCACAAUGGGCGAAAGCCUGAUGCAGCGACGCCGCGUGAGGGAUGACGGCCUUCGGGUUGUAAACCUCUUUCAGCAGGGAAGAAGCGAAAGUGACGGUNYYUGCAGAAGAAGCGCCGGCUAACUACGUGCCAGCAGCCGCGGNAAUACGUAGGGCGCARGCGUUGUCCGGAAUUAUUGGGCGUAAAGAGCUCGUAGGCGGUCUGUCGCGUCGGAUGUGAAAGCCCGGGGCUUAACCCCGGGUCUGCAUUCGAUACGGGCAGACUAGAGUGUGGUAGGGGAGAUCGGAAUUCCUGGUGUAGCGGUGAAAUGCGCAGAUAUCAGGAGGAACACCGGUGGCGAAGGCGGAUCUCUGGGCCAUUACUGACGCUGAGGAGCGAAAGCGUGGGGAGCGAACAGGAUUAGAUACCCUGGUAGUCCACGCCGUAAACGGUGGGAACUAGGUGUUGGCGACAUUCCACGUCGUCGGUGCCGCAGCUAACGCAUUAAGUUCCCCGCCUGGGGAGUACGGCCGCAAGGCUAAAACUCAAAGGAAUUGACGGGGGCCCGCACAAGCAGCGGAGCAUGUGGCUUAAUUCGACGCAACGCGAAGAACCUUACCAAGGCUUGACAUACACCGGAAAGCAUCAGAGAUGGUGCCCCCCUUGUGGUCGGUGUACAGGUGGUGCAUGGCUGUCGUCAGNCUCGUGUCGUGAGAUGUUGGGUUAAGUCCCGCAACGAGCGCAACCCUUGUUCUGUGUUGCCAGCAUGCCCUUCGGGGUGAUGGGGACUCACAGGAGACUGCCGGGGUCAACUCGGAGGAAGGUGGGGACGACGUCAAGUCAUCAUGCCCCUUAUGUCUUGGGCUGCACACGUGCUACAAUGGCAGGUACAAUGAGCUGCGAAGCCGCGAGGCGGAGCGAAUCUCAAAAAGCCUGUCUCAGUUCGGAUUGGGGUCUGCAACUCGACCCCAUGAAGUCGGAGUUGCUAGUAAUCGCAGAUCAGCAUUGCUGCGGUGAAUACGUUNNUCGGGCCUUGUACACACCGCCCGUCACGUCACGAANYNCC
rnacentral:rRNA from 1 species